rnacentral:lncRNA from 10 species
CAUCUUAUUAGCUGUACGAUCUUGGGCACGUCCAGUGCAGCGCCCAAUUUUCUGGAGCUCAUCCUGUCUCCUGAAUUUUCAAUCAUGCACUCUACCUUGGCUCUGCUGUGGCCAGCUGACUUCCGGUGGGGCCUCUGCAAUCCUGCCACCUAAGGGCCACCAGCCAUACUCCUGGUGUCCCUGGCUCCUGUCUGAAGUGCCACACUUGCAGGGCAUGGGGUGGUAUCACUGGAGCCAAAUGAUGAACCCUGGGAAGCUGAGUUGUUACCUUGCAAUGAGGUUGUUCUGGUGACUACUCAGGUGUGACAAAGUACCCCAAAGUUUAGGGGUUUAUAACAACCAUUUAAUUAGGCUCUAAUGAGUUAUGUGGGUCAGUAGGGCACGGUAGGACUGGCAUGUCUCUGCUCUUCAAUGUCUGAGGCCUCAGCUGAGGAGACAAUGGCUGGGAGUGCCCCCACAGCUGUGGGCUAGAAUCAUAUGAACGUAUAUCCAUGCAGGUGGGGCUGCGUGCUGGGGCCAUAGCUGGAGCUGUCACCCAGAGCCCUUACACGUGGGCUCACAUGGUGCCCUUCGGGUAGCUGAUUUCUCUCAUGGCAGCCGAGGGCUCCAAGCAUGAGGGCCCCGGUGAAUAAAGCAGAAGCUGCCCAGCAUCACUCCUGCUGCGUGUCCCCACCUCAAGACGGGAGAAAUGGCAAAGAAUUUGCAGUUCUGUUUAAAAACUGCCAUGGGGGAAACUGCCCCAAUGGGAGAUGAGGUGUAGAAGACAAAGUCCUGAGAACACAUGGACACAUGGAGGGAACACACAUACCAG